rnacentral:rRNA from 1 species
UACGGGGGGGGCAAGCGUUGUUCGGAAUUACUGGGCGUAAAGGGCGCGUAGGCGGCCUUCUAAGUCGGACGUGAAAUCCCUCGGCUUAACCGAGGAACUGCGUCCGAUACUGAAAGGCUUGAAUCCGGGAGAGGGAUGUGGAAUUCCAGGUGUAGCGGUGAAAUGCGUAGAUAUCUGGAGGAACACCGGUGGCGAAGGCGGCAUCCUGGGACCGGUAUUGACGCUGAGGCGCGAAAGCUAGGGGAGCAAACGGGG